rnacentral:lncRNA from 1 species
AGCAUUACGUUCAUGCAUAACUUCCAUACCAAGGUUAGCACGGUUGAUUAUAUCAGCCCAAGUGUUGAUGACACGACCUUGACUGUCAACUACGGAUUGGUUGAAAUUGAAACCAUUUAGGUUGAAAGCCAUAGUGCUAAUACCCAAAGCAGUGAACCAAAUACCUACUACGGGCCAAGCAGCUAGGAAGAAAUGUAAGGAACGAGAAUUGUUGAAACUAGCAUAUUGGAAGAUCAAUCGACCAAAAUAACCAUGAGCAGCUACGAUAUUAUAGGUUUC